ensembl:processed_transcript
GGAUUGCUGCCGGGCUUUCCCCGGCGUGGUUCCCCGAGUCAUGGCUCCGGACUCGGGGCCCUUCCCCGACGGACAACUUUUGAAGCUGCUGCCGGUGGAUCCCCGGGACCGGGACACCCAGCGCUGCCGCCUGGGGCCGGCCGCCUUCCGCAGCUUGGGUGCGCGCCUGGGCUCGCCGCUGAGGAUCUCGUUGCCCGCCGGCGGCUGCUGCCUCUGCACGGCCUGGCCGCGGCGCGACAGGGUGGAUGGCUUUGUGCAGCUGGACCCGCAGUGCGCUAGCCCCGGGGCCCGGGUGGCCACGGGGAGGAUCGGUAUGGACUGCUUGCAACCCGUGCCCUGUCCGCCCCUGCGGCGCCUAGAGGUGUGGCCGGUGCUGCGGCCCCAGGCGGGAGCCCCGAGUUCCGCCGCGGUGCUGGAGGUAGUGCACGAGCUGCUGCGCAACCGGCCGGUGUCUCGGGGACACGUGGUGACCACCCCGCCGGGUGUCCCCGGCCCUGUCGCAGCUCUGCACGUGAUGGGCGGGACACCGGACCCAGAGCCCGGCGGGUGGGUCACACCGCAUACCCGCAUCACGCUCAGUGACAAGCCUCCGCCACAGGUCGAGCCUCCCGGGGAGGUGACCCUUGGGGGUCUGUCGGAGACCGCCGACUCCCUACGGGAGCUGCUCCGCCUGCCGCUGCGCUACCCGCUCGCCCUAGCCGCGCUGGGGCUGGCGGUGCCCCGCGGGGUGCUCCUGGCGGGCCCCCCGGGAGUGGGCAAGACCCAGUUAGUGCGGGCCGUGGCGCGCGAGACUGGCGCCGAGCUGCUGGCGGUGAGCGCCCCGGCGUUGCAGGGCUCCCGGCCCGGGGAGACCGAGGAGAACGUGCGGCGCAUCUUCCAACGAGCCCAGGAGCUGGCCAGCCGCGGACCCAGCCUCCUCUUCCUGGACGAAGUGGAUGCCCUGUGUCCCCGGAGAGGCGGCCCGCACCGAGCUCCCGAGAGCCGAGUGGUGGCCCAGGUGUUGACGCUGCUGGACGGCAUCCACAGGGACAGGGAGUUUGUGGUUGUGGGAGCCACCAACCGGCCAGACGAGUUAGACCCAGCGCUUCGCAGGCCGGGCAGGUUUGACAGAGAGGUUGUCAUUGGAACUCCCACCCUUAAACAAAGAGAAGCAAUUCUGCAAGUGAUUACUUCAAAGAUGCCCAUCUCCAGUCAUAUUGAUUUAGGUCUCCUGGCAGAAAUGACGGUUGGCUAUGUUGGUGCUGACCUGACAGCACUCUGUAGGGAGGCUGCCAUGUGUGCCCUUCUCAAGAAUGAGAAGGUAGGAAGUGUUCACCUGUCACUUUCAGAUGAAUGUAAUGGUAAUCUUUCAGAUUAAUAUGACAGAUCAAUGUGGGGUUAGAAUAGGUGCUACGUACAUUCAUUCCUUGGCAUGGCUGCUAGGCUCCACAGCUGUUUCGGGCGUGUGUGUGUGUGUGUGUGUGAGUGAGAGGGGAGGGAGGGAGGGGGAGGGAGGGAGAGAGAGAGAGAGAGAGAGA